rnacentral:rRNA from 1 species
GACAGAGGAGCCAAGCGUUGUCCGGAUUGACUGGGCGUAAAGCGCACGCAGGCGGCUCUGCGCGUGGGGUGUGAAAGCUCUUGGCUUAACUAAGAGAGGCCAUCCCAUACGGCAGAGCUCGAGCCAUGCAGAGGUCCGCGGAAUUGCCGGUGUAGUGGUGAAAUGCGUAGAGAUCGGCAGGAACACCCAGGGGGAAACCAGCGGACUGGGCAUGUGCUGACGCUCAGGUGCGACAGCGUGGGGAGCGAACCGG